UGCCAUGCUGUGAGGUCACUGAGGCAGCCUCUGGAGAGGCCCACAUGAGGAGGAACGAGGCCUCCCACCAACAGCCAUGUGAGCACAUCAUCUCAGACGUGGUUCCUCUAGCCUCAGUCGAGCCUUCGGAUGGCUGGAGCGCCUGCCAACAUCCUCACUGCAACUUGAUGAGUGAUCACCCAGCUAAGCCACUGCAGGAUUUGUAACCCACAGAAACCGGGAGGAGAAACCGGGACCUCAUGAAGUGUUUGAGACAUUGGGUUAAAGCACAUGCAUUUAAAAGGACCAGGAAAAGAAAAGAGACGCAGCGUCCUCGUUCUCCUCCUCAGGAUUACGAAAUAGGUGACUGGGUUGGCACCCUAGGGAGGUUCCCACGUGCACUGCAGGGCCUGGGGCAGGCCAGGCUCAUAGGAGCCUCUUAGGGAUCAAUGAAAUGUGGUCUGUCCGUACUGUGGAAGAUUAUUAGGACAUAAAAGGAAUGAAGUA